rnacentral:lncRNA from 1 species
GCCUGAGAUUAAUUGCAGCUAAAAAUGAUAAUUCAUAUUGUUAAUAGUACACUGCCUGCGGUCAGGUUUGUCUCUGUCAAAAAACAAUCUCAGAGCCGUCCUUGUAGAGUGGAGGUGCAAUUUAAUAAGAGGACAAAAUGAAAAAAGAGAGAGUAAUCCAGCCUGCAUUGUACCAAGACUAAAAGGGAGACCGCAAUAGGCCGGAGUUAAAGGUCACAUCAAAUGUAAAGAGAGUGAGUGUGUGUGUUUGUUUGUUUAAAUGAACUAAUUAUGACUAGUCAAUUGUACUUAUCUUUACUUUGACUAGUGUUUACACACUUUGUUAUUAAUGUACUACUAUAAUCUCGUGUCUCUUUUUAUCGUGUACAUGUGUGUGUCUCAGUUUUGCGUAAUUUUAUUUAAACUGAGAUAAGCUAACAGUUUGUGUAGGAGAUCUGAAGUUUACACGACACGUCAAACUCAGACAGUUGAAGAAAGGAAAAAAUAAUGGAGGAAAGAGAAAUAUUACUACUAAUCCCUGAAUGGAACAAACAUUGAAAUUUCCUGCUGUAGUUAUGUCAGCAAAUCCUCCCAAACAUUAGCAACUAAAAUUCACUUCCUAAAUUAAAAAGUAUUCUGUUUAUGUUGAUUUGUCAUAUAAUGUAAUUUGUCAUUGUAAGUCCCUGACCAUAACCUUACCUUCCUCUCAUUAAGAUAAUGAGAUUCUCCUAUUCCUUUUAUAGAUUAUCCAGCUGUAUCUCUGUAUGUCACAUGCAAGUUUCACUUUAUUAGCUUGCUUUAAUCAAGAAGCUUUGGAUGUAUGGUUCAAAUUGCUGCGCAGCCACUACUCAUCAGCCCGUAACAAUGCAUGAAAGAAAUAGUUGUAAGGAGAGGAGGAAAGAUAUCCUAUUUCGACUCAUGAAUAAUUCAUUUUAUUCAAUCAGAGCGUUGUGUACAAGUGUAUCACAUUGCAUUGCAUCUGUGAGAAUGCUAUUAGUGAAUGAUAAACGGGAUGGCUCCUUUAAGAGACGUAUUGAGACGUGAAUGAAUGCCUGUUUUGUCUUUGGUCCUGGAGCGUGGGCGGAAAGAAGCUCGUUGUACCUGUACAAAGGGCGUAGUGUCUAGACAUUUACUCAUUCUGAGCCAUGUAACGAUAUUAGGAGCGUGUUGCCCUGGAAGUGCUCUGCAAUAAAAGAGCUAGUGGAGAUCAAUUAAAAUAAAAUAUGUACAAGUACAUGUAGUAUAUAUCUGGAGUGAGUGUGCGUGACAUUUAGUGUGGACGUAGGAGUAAUGCAGAGGAGGUAAACAUAUGAAUAAUUAGAACUGGAAUCACUAUUUUACAUGUAGAAUUGUGAGACAAUAUGUCUCCAUGGACUAGCUUUCUCUUGUUUUUCACCCUUCUUCCUCUCUCUCUCUCUUUC